GCGAACAGGUGAUUGUGUGAAUAAGUCUAUUGUAGCAUCAUCGGAGGGAUACGGCGUGCUAUGUUGUUAGCAGUAUGGGGGAUGGAGUACGUGUAGUGAAGACAGGUUGAGCGUCAGAGAUGUGCCCACCACAAGAAAUGGACACCUAAUGGUGUCGUGUUCCCUUUUUUCUCUUUCAUGUUCAGGAUCGCAUGACGCAAACGCACAGAACAUAGUGUCUGUGUUUUGAUGUCCAGAAAAUUGACGUAUCGAGCUUCUGGAUAGAUGGCCGAAUCAAGCUGAAGACACUGUUUUUUCUCUUUUCAGGUUCAGGAUUGUAUGACACAAGUGUUCGACAAAGGAAAAAAAACGUACAGAACCUGAUAGUGUCUGUGUUUUGAUGUCCAGAAAAAUGAUGUAUGGAGCUUCUGGACAGAUAGCCGAAUCAAGCUGAAGACACUGGUUAGUUUGCUUCGACGACAACUGUUACAUUGAAAAAAAGUCACCCUAAUUUUAUUUGUUUAAUCCAAAUAUGAUCAAAACUGUUCACAAUUUUCCCCAAACAAAACAGGUACCGAAGCUACAUUUUCUUUAAUUUCGAGGGAAUUUUCAUGGUUUUUCUUCAUAGCAGUUCGUGCGCUAGACCUUACUUGCCGUCGUUUUUGUCGCGUUCGUCCCGUCGUUUCGUUAGCUCUCGGUUUUCUUCUUGUUUCGUUGACCUGCGGAUUUCAAUUUAAUUACUUUGUUAGCUGUUUCAAGAUGGUGUCUAUUGAUUCAUAGGGUAUGGAUGCGCAAAGCAGGAGGAAGUGAUCGGAAAAUGACUGGUCACUUAACAAUGAGACGUGCCUCACUAAAGUGCAUAAGAUAAGUAAGUUUUCAGUUUUAGCAAAACUUUUUGGCCUCUUCAACGAAAGGUGAGAUAUUAAGUUUCUUUUUUCUCUUCGUGCUUUCUUUUCCAUGGCGUAUUGUUGGCUUCCACUAUUUGUGUUUGAUUGUCGUUUUGCAGGUUGUUUCUUUUUUAUGCGUCUUUUGUAUUUUCGUCUUCUUUCUUUUGACAAAAGAAACAAGUUCAUUUGUCAUCAUUAACUCCGAUGAGCAGAUGUACGAUUCUGACGAUGGAGGAAGCUGACUGUAGACAACUGAUCAAUCAACUCGAACUGCGAAUAAAGUUAAGGAGUUCUGCUUUAGAUAUCCAUGUUCGUUUCCGAUGGUAGCUUUUAUGGCUGUGUGUGUCGUUCGCGCAGUUUUUGAUAUGUGCUCAUGGUUUUUCUCGUUUACUUUCUGUCUUUUGAGGCCCGAAACUGUGACCAGGGAGUAAAAUGACAAGGACCGGACACAGGACUUCGACUGGGACUAAAUCCAGGAAGCAAGUUAUUACCUAGUGGGUGAACUUGGCAUGACCACCGAAGAUAAUGCGACAAUCCAUUCCGAUUGGGUAUAUGUUUGCGAAGAAUAGAGACAUUCGAAGACAACGCAUCGGUCUACACUUUCCAUCUUGGAGUUAUCGGAGCAUUAUGGUUGGAGAAUUUCAUUACGUAAUAGUUAGAUUGCUUUAUUUUGUUGCCAACUUAUUUUUUUCCAUAAAGUAUGCACUGUAAGAUGUACACACAUUGUGCGAUAUAAUGUUAUUAUCAAGAGUCUUUUGUGAUCUGGCAAAAGUAAAGAAACUCACUUUUAAAAUGUAAAGGCACGAUGGACCAUGAAAACAGUUUAAUUUCAUUUUUGUUUGAAUAGAGUUUUCAAGACUUUCUACUACCAUUAGCAGUUUCCAAAACAAUUUCGUGUGCACCCGAGGUUUAUGGUCAUCGGGCUCGGUCAGAUUGGUGCUUGGUUGCUGUGGUGUCGGACUCAAGAGAUGCGGAGUUUUGUGAAAGGAGGGCUCUACUCGUUUGCCUCCAUCAGCCAACCACAAGACGGCACUGACUUCAUUCCAGUUAUCAAUGAGCAUAUUCCCAAUAGCAAAACAAUCAGACUAAUGCUGGACUUAGAAAAUGAGCAGUGCUAUUUUAUAGUUUGUGUUAAAGAACCCAUUGACAGGUAGUUGGUUUUCCCGAUAUAUUUCGAUUUACAAACAUCUAGAGGAAUGUACUAGGAGUAAUAGGUAUAAGCGAUUUUAGAUGGGAACAAUGAAACUUGGACGAAAUUGAAGCAUGCGUAACUAUUUCUUAGUAUCAGAAAUCGAAGGAUGAAUGUUACAUUUGACAUAGGCAACAAUCCUCAAAAGUUCAUUCACCCUAACACAACCACUUAAUACUAACACCAACACUGACUGCCAUUACUUAUUACUCCACCAUCCACCAAGGACACAGUGCUAAAUUAUUGCCUAAUGCAAAUGAAACAUUCAUAUUCAGAAAUUCUUUAGUAGAUGAGUAAAAGCAUUAACUGCAAGACUACAUCCUCUGAGUUUCAGUGUUCCCCCCAUUUCAAUGUAGUGUUACACUGAAAGUACACUGUAUGCCUACUUUGUAUUAUCGUAUAAGCUUGGAAAUGUAUUUAUGCCAAAGAAUAAAAUGUCAAGUAAUGUACCACAGCUUGCAUUGAGAUCUACAUGUAUACCUGGCUUCUUCAGGUGACGUAUAUUCCCGUUCUCAUAUUCUUGUUGCAGCUGAUGGUUAUUUAAAUAUAUCCAUGUAUGGGCGUCGCCAUUUUGUCGGGGAUUUUUUGGGGGAGCAUUCAUCAGCAUCGAACUGAUAAACGAUAAACAUUGGAAUGCGGCUAUUUUAAGGGGUUUUAUUUUAAAUACAUUUUGGUGAUUUUC